rnacentral:rRNA from 1 species
AGAGUUUGAUCAUGGCUCAGGACGAACGCUGGCGGCGUGCUUAAUACAUGCAAGUCGAGCGGAGCUUUAGAGGAAGCUUGCGAAUCUAGAGUCGAGCGGCGGACGGGUGAGUAACGCGUGGGCAAUCUGCCUUCUAGUCGGGGACAACAGUUCGAAAGGACUGCUAAGACCGGAUAUGCUGCCGAAGGGACAUCCCUUAG